GGGAAUAUUGGACAAUGGGCGCAAGCCUGAUCCAGCAAUGCCGCGUGUGUGAAGAAGGUCUUCGGAUUGUAAAGCACUUUCGGCGGGGACGAUGAUGACGGUACCCGCAGAAGAAGCCCCGGCUAACUUCGUGCCAGCAGCCGCGGUAAUACGAAGGGGGCUAGCGGUGCUCGGAAUGACUGGGCGUAAAGGGCGCGUAGGCGGUUUGCACAGUCAGAUGUGAAAUUCCUGGGUUCAACCUGGGGACUGCAUUUGAUACGUGUGGGCUUGAGUGGAGAAGAGGGUCGUGGAAUUUCCAGUGUAGAGGUGAAAUUCGUAGAUAUUGGAAAGAACACCGGUGGCGAAGGCGGCGACCUGGUCUUUAACUGACGCUGAGGCGCGAAAGCGUGGGGAGCAAA
rnacentral:rRNA from 1 species